rnacentral:misc_RNA from 1 species
UCCAGCAGCCGCGGUAAUACGUUCCCGGGCCUUGCACACACCGCCCGUCACAUCACGAAAGUCGGUUGCACUAGAAGUCGGUGGGCUAACCCGCAAGGGGGGCAGCCGCCUAAAGUGUGAUCGGUAAUUGGGGUGAAGUCGUAACAAGGUAGCUGUAGGAGAACCUGCGGCUGGAUCACCUCCUUUCUAAGGAGCAUCUCCGUCUCGGAUCAAAACGAGAUUGCGAUUGAAUGCACCUGAGGUCGAAAGGAAUCUGCUGUAAAAGCAAACGUUCGCCUCUUGACUUUCCUGUUCAGUUUUCAGGGCACCGGCCCCGAACGCUUCUUUGACAAUUGAAUAUGGGUAAGUA